AGGAACAUCCAAAUCUCCUCAGCGGUUAAACCGACCCCAAACCACUUCUGGGAAACCACCGGUAUCCACUGCUUUGGGGAACUCUGGAUGCUCGUUAUGCCAAACGCUCUCAAAGUAAGCAAAUCCCCAACUGCCGUUCCCCUCCAUGGGUAAUUCUUAGGGUCUGGGAGGUGAGCUCGCCCGCCGAGGCAGAACUAAGCGAGUCGCCUGGAGAGGCGUGAAGGGAGCCUGCACGUGUCCCCCGCGGCUUCCCCACCGCCCCAAGAGCGGGGCAUGUACGAGACCGCGCUGUGGGGUUCAGAUUUAGGAAGGACGACCGCGUCGCCUGCCUCCCUCCCUCGCCCAGAGCCGGGAGCAAUGCUGGGGCACGAAAGAGGACUUGGGAAGGAUCCGGUCCUUACUUUCCCCGCGGGUCCCGGACCCGCAGCCCCCGGGUUGUGAGGCGGAAGCCAAAGGGGCGAACCCAGCGGAGCCGGCGUGCACAGACCCUGCCCCGCGGUCCAAGAGGGGUGCCUCCGGCCCGGGACAGCGGGGCUCCCGGAGCCCGAAAGCCCCACGAGCGGCGACAGCGGGGCCCGGCGCUGACGAACAGAGGAAGCGAGUACAACGGAGCCGCCGUCGGGAACAUGCCCCCGAGGGCCCCGGAGCGCGCGGCCGCGAGGAGCGGCAAGCGGCGAGGGAGGCCCCAAGCCGGGGCGAGGUGGCUGUCCCCCCAGCCUGGCCCCGCACGGCCCCCCGAGGGUGGGAGUGGGAGGCUGUCCGGGAGGGGGAGUGUGGAAGGAGAAAAGGGCCAAGGGAAGGACUUACUUUCCCCGCGGGACCCGGCGCCAGCACAGCUCCUCCCGGGAGGUGAAGGAAGAUGAUUUCCCCCCCAUCUUGACCACCCCCCAGUCUUCGCCGCCAAAAACGGACUCCGCCGGCUAUCCUCGGCCCGGUACCAGUUGUUGGAUCCAAGAGAAUUCCGGAACCCAAACGGUCCAUUACCGCGGCUCUGGGGCUCGCUCAAAGCACUUUAUUGGCAGUGAAACCGCAAGUAACCCGGAGCCCUCGGCGCGACCACGGCUAGAAUCAGAGCCUAAGGCGUGUGAGCUCAGCCAUCCCACGUCUGUCUUCACGCUCAUACGCAAGCCCGACACACCGGGGCUCCCACUUAAUGAAUACUGAAGAGUAGGGCUGUCCCUACCGCUUCUCACUUCCUUGUUUUCAUCUUUUCGUUAUUAUUAAGCGACCUAACACAAUAAACAUAUUACCUUGUUGGUAACCCUUUUGUAAAGUCAUUCUGAAAGUGCUGUUUGACUCCGUUGCUUGGGUAAUAAGCACGCCUGGGUGAUUCUUGCCCCCUACUGGCUGCGCAUCCUACAAGCCUAGUGCUGAAAGCAAACCAAGUAGCUGGAACAGUUGGAGGUUACAGUGUGAACUCUUCCAGAGACAAAGUAUUCGGGGAAAGAAAGGAAAAAGUAGGCACA
rnacentral:lncRNA from 1 species